rnacentral:rRNA from 1 species
AUUGAACGCUGGCGGCAGGCCUAACACAUGCAAGUCGAGCGAUCGGCGGACGGGUGAGUAAUGUCUGGGAAACUGCCUGAUUUCGGGGGAUAACUACUGGAAACGGUAGCUAAUACCGCAUACCAUCAGCUUUUCCCAGAUGGGGUUGGCAAGUAGUUGGGGUAACGGCUCACCUUGGCGACGAUCCCUAGCUGGUCUGGGAGGAUGACCCGCCACACUGGAACUGAGACACGGUCCAGACUCCUACGGGAGGCAGAAGUGGGGAAUAUUGCAAAAUGGGGGCAAGCCUGAUGCAGCCAUGCCGCGUGUGGGAAGAAGGCCUUCGGGUUGAAAAGCACUUUCAGCGGGGAGGCGUUACCCGCAGAAGAAGCACCGGCUAACUCCGUGCCAGCAGCCGCGGUAAUUC